rnacentral:miRNA from 1 species
AGAAAGGCAGUCUGCCCUUUGAAGCUUGGAAGCCAGGCAUUGACUUCUCUCUAGCCAUGAAAGUCCUAGAUGGCAUCUUCUUUCAAUGGAAGGCUGAUUCAUCCACAUUGAAAAUCUGUUU